GAACGCUGGCGGCAGGCCUAACNCAUGCAAGUCGAGCGGUAGAGAGGUGCUUGCAUCUCUUGAGAGCGGCGGACGGGUGAGUAAUGCCUAGGAAUCUGCCUAGUGGUGGGGGAUAACGUUCGGAAACGGACGCUAAUACCGCAUACGUCCUACGGGAGAAAGCGGGGGAUCUUCGGACCUCGCGCCAUUAGAUGAGCCUAGGUCGGAUUAGCUAGUUGGUGAGGUAAUGGCUCACCAAGGCGACGAUCCGUAACUGGUCUGAGAGGAUGAUCAGUCACACUGGAACUGAGACACGGUCCAGACUCCUACGGGAGGCAGCAGUGGGGAAUAUUGGACAAUGGGCGAAAGCCUGAUCCAGCCAUGCCGCGUGUGUGAAGAAGGUCUUCGGAUUGUAAAGCACUUUAAGUUGGGAGGAAGGGUAGUAACCUAAUACGUUGCUGCUUUGACGUUACCGACAGAAUAAGCACCGGCUAACUUCGUG
rnacentral:rRNA from 1 species